CAUUAAGAAGCUAUGAACCAGCACUAGCCUUUUAAGCUAGAGAAAGAGGAAAUUUCCCUCCUUAAUGA
rnacentral:tRNA from 6 species